AUGAUGGACUGCAGGAGAGGACUGCUGCUUCUAACUGUCUUCUGGGCAGGUGUUGAUGGUCAGACUCUGACAGAAUCUGAACCAGCAGUUAAAAGACCUGGAGAAUCCCACAGACUGACAUGUACAGCCUCUGGAUUCUCAUUCAGCAGCUUUGAAAUGAACUGGGUCAGACAGGCUCCUGGAAAAGGACUGGAGUGGGUUGCUUAUAUCAAUAGUGGUGGUGGUAGCAAACACUACUCUCAGUCAGUACAAGGCCGGUUUACCAUCUCCAGAGACAACAGCAGACAGCAGCUGUAUCUGCAGAUGAACAGUCUGAGGACUGAAGAUUCUGCUGUUUAUUAUUGUGCUAGAGAAAAUCUGAAUUAA